rnacentral:rRNA from 1 species
UACGAAGGGGGCUAGCGUUGCUCGGAAUCACUGGGCGUAAAGGGUGCGUAGGCGGGUCUUUAAGUCAGGGGUGAAAUCCUGGAGCUCAACUCCAGAACUGCCUUUGAUACUGAAGAUCUUGAGUUCGGGAGAGGUGAGUGGAAUUGCGAGUGUAGAGGUGAAAUUCGUAGAUAUUCGCAAGAACACCAGUGGCGAAGGCGGCUCACUGGCCCGGAACUGACGCUGAGACGCGAAAGCGUGGGGAGCAAACAGG